AUGCCCAGAAAAUAUGGUAAGCUAUGUUAACAAGCCAUAUUAGAUAUCAAGCAUUAAUAUGGAAAUAAACCAGAGUAUUUUCCAAAAGAAGAGCAAGGGCCCGGCUGGAGGCUGACAGACUUCCAAGAACCUGAAUCCCCUCUUGGACUCCUGGCUUGCUUUUGGCUACAGAAUCAUCAUCUGCAUCUGGAGAUUUCCACUGGGACUUUCUGGAGGCAGACAAAUCCUGCCCUGAUUCUGGGGACCAUGCCUGUGGAGAUGCACAGUUCUACCAUUCAAAGUGACUAUCGGAAAACACCUCCUAAGAAGGACAAAACUUUUCUCCAGCUAAGAGGGUGCUUGUUAAUGUGAUUAGAUACAUAUGUAAUAGUGUCCCCCUCCCCUCUUAGCCCUUCAGUGUGUGUUCUUUCAGCCAGUGUAUCUACAUGCAGGAGAUGUUAAAGGAUGGAUGUAACUUCAGACCUUCAUUUCCCCAUAAGUAUUGCUUUCAGAGAAUAUCUAAUGAAGUUACAUGGAUGAAGAUUUCUGUAUCAUUUGUUUCCCAGAAUGGCUCUCCAACUUACAUUUCAUCAUCCACCCACAUAUCCAUUUAUCCAUUCAACCUUCAUGUACUGACUGAAAACUCCUCUCAUGUAGUUUUCCUCAGCAGUUUCCUCUUCUGGGGAUUUUCUGCUGUUUUGGUAACCUGUUUUAAUAUUGUAUUUUAUGUGUUCCCAAGGGCAAUGCAAGUUGUUUAAAGGGGCAAUUAUCUCAUGUGAUUUAUGAGAUUUGCUGGACAAAUUCCAAUAAAAAAUGUACUUGAGAAGUAUGUCACAGGUUUAUUGCUGGUAUCAAUAAAGUCUCUAUAGUGUGUGGCAAUCCAUGUUUUAAAGGAGUUAGCUUUGUGAUCAUAGAUGAUCAAAUCUAAUAUGCCAUCAAUUAUAAGAUUUAUUCCAGUUUUUGAGAUGUAAAAAUGUAAAAAAUAAAGGUCAGCAAUAAUUUUAUAAUGUCAUGUAUUGUAAGAUAUGUGUAGAAUCAAAAGAUGGUAAAACGUGAAAUAAAGUGCAUCUAAGAAUUGAU
rnacentral:antisense_RNA from 1 species